rnacentral:rRNA from 1 species
AGAGUUUGAUCCUGGCUCAGGAUGAACGCUGGCGGCGUGCCUAAUACAUGCAAGUCGAACGCUUCACUUCGGUGAAGAGUGGCGAACGGGUGAGUAAUACAUAAGUAACCUGGCAUCUACAGGGGGAUAACUGAUGGAAACGUCAGCUAAGACCGCAUAGGUGUAGAGAUCGCAUGAACUCUAUAUGAAAAGUGCUACGGGACUGGUAGAUGAUGGACUUAUGGCGCAUUAGCUUGUUGGUAGGGUAACGGCCUACCAAGGCGACGAUGCGUAGCCGACCUGAGAGGGUGACCGGCCACACUGGGACUGAGACACGGCCCAGACUCCUACGGGAGGCAGCAGUAGGGAAUUUUCGGCAAUGGGGGAAACCCUGACCGAGCAACGCCGCGUGAAGGAAGAAGUAAUUCGUUAUGUAAACUUCUGUCAUAGAGGAAGAACGGUGGAUAUAGGGAAUGAUAUCCAAGUGACGGUACUCUAUAAGAAAGCCACGGCUAACUACGUGCCAGCAGCCGCGGUAAUACGUAGGUGGCGAGCGUUAUCCGGAAUGAUUGGGCGUAAAGGGUGCGUAGGUGGCAGAUCAAGUCUGGAGUAAAAGGUAUGGGCUCAACCCGUACUGGCUCUGGAAACUGAUCAGCUAGAGAACAGAAGAGGACGGCGGAACUCCAUGUGUAGCGGUAAAAUGCGUAGAUAUAUGGAAGAACACCGGUGGCGAAGGCGGCCGUCUGGUCUGGAUUCUGACACUGAAGCACGAAAGCGUGGGGAGCAAAUAGGAUUAGAUACCCUAGUAGUCCACGCCGUAAACGAUGAGAACUAGGUGUUGGGGGAAUAACUCAGUGCCGCAGUUAACGCAGUAAGUUCUCCGCCUGGGGAGUAUGCACGCAAGUGUGAAACUCAAAGGAAUUGACGGGGGCCCGCACAAGCGGUGGAGUAUGUGGUUUAAUUCGAAGCAACGCGAAGAACCUUACCAGGCCUUGACAUCCCUUGCAGAGGUAUAGAGAUAUAUCCGAGGUUAUCAAGGAGACAGGUGGUGCAUGGUUGUCGUCAGCUCGUGUCGUGAGAUGUUGGGUUAA